rnacentral:sRNA from 1 species
GUGAAAGUCCUGGAGACUGAGUGUAUUUACCUACAGAACAGGUACAGCGUGGGGAAUGGGAUUGCAAGGUCCCUACACUGCCCUGCCAAUAUUGCUAUGCUUUACUGUGGACUGGCUCCCUUAAGGGAUUUUGGGGAGCUUAAUUUUCAUGACCUUUGAAAAUCUCACCCUU